AGCAUUGUCUUCUUUGUUCAGAGGCCUCUUCUCCGGGGGCCACCUGGGACCCCUCCAACCCAAGCUGACGCACUUCCCACCAUAGCACUUCAUGGCAAAUCUUCCUUCUCCGUCUGCCUCUGUUAGCACUUACAUGAUCCACAUGCUUGCAGCUCAGUUCAACUCUUAAAAAUCAUCUCAUCUCUGGGCUUUCAUUUCCUGGAGACAAAGGCACGAAGAAGUUGGCUCUCUUUCUCAAGAUUGCAAAGUUGCAAAACCCAGCUCCAAGUCCAUGACCUUCCCAUCACCAAACCCCACACUUGAACAAGUGGACAAAUACACCUCAGCAGGCACUGGCUAUAUACUGGGUAUGGAUUUCAAGUGUGAAGGAAAAAGAAAAACUUUAACUCUUUAUCCUAUUUAACAAAAAUAAUUAAGAAAUGGAAUGUUCUGAUUGAAAAUUACCAAGCAUAUGAUGUAUGGAUGAUCAAUUUUUGAAGAAUUGGAAACAAUUAGAAAUUAGAAAACAGAAGCCCACAUCCUUUGAAAUCCAUACUGCAGGUGAGCCCAGUGUAAAGACAAGGAUUCUUAAAUGAGGAAGAGGGAGGCAGACAGUCUGAACCAGAGAGAUGGCAUCUGAAAAAGGCUCCGUCAGCCUUUGCUGGCUUUGAAGAUGAAAGGGAGCCAUGAGCCAAGGAAUUCAGGCAGCCUCUAGAAGCCAGCAAAUGCGAGGAAAUGGAUUCUCCCCUAGAGCCUCCAGAAAGGAAUUCUGUUCAGCCAACACCUUGAUUUUAGCCCAGUGAGACCCAUUUUGGACUUCUGCCCUCCUCCGGAACUGUAAAAUAAUAAAUUUGUGUUGUUUUAAA